rnacentral:rRNA from 1 species
GGUUGCGACCAUACCAGCACUAAUGCACCGGAUCCCAUCUGAACUCCUCAGUUAAGCGUGCUUGGGCGAGAGUAGUACUAGGAUGGGUGACCCUUUGGGAAGUCCUCGUGUUACACCCUC